AUAUGAUGGAGGGUGUAUGAAGAUGAUGAGUAGGUCAACAUGGAAUCAAUCAUUCCUAGCAAGAGGAGAUCGCAUCCUAUGAAUUCUCAUCUCUAGAUACUUGAAAAAAUUUUGGCUAAAAGCAGGUUAAAGAUUAGAAAGAGUUUCUAAUGCUUUGGAGUCAUCAUUGGUUAAUAGAGAAUUGAUAUGAAUAUGUAUUUGAGUUUGAUAUGAUUCCAUACUCAUGAACAUAUUCGGGAUGCAGGG
rnacentral:lncRNA from 1 species